AUGCCAUGAGAAAUGGACUAUACCUGCAAAAUAAUAAAAGUUGAAUCAAAUCGUACAUAGCGGUGCUGCUAUGAUAUGACCAUGGAUUGACACACAAUGCAAUCACGGAGCACAUGAAAUCAAAAUGCCUUGAUGCCUUAGUAUUUCUUAGUUCUCAUUAUUUUUUAGUGGAUAUUAUAAUGCUGACAUGUGCCUUGAAAGAGAGGGGUGUGCACUAUCUUGGCCUCAAUUUUCCAGUCUCCAACUAAUUGACCAAUCAUUUUAAUUAUUUUGAAAUGACCAUAGUCUUUAAAGGCAUGCUUUAGGUUUAAAGUUCACCAGGCUCCAACCCUAGCG
rnacentral:misc_RNA from 1 species